UCCUACGGGGGGCAGCAGUGAGGAAUAUUGGUCAAUGGGCGGGAGCCUGAACCAGCCAAGUCGCGUGAGGGACGACGGUCCUAUGGAUUGUAAACCUCUUUUGUCGGGGAACAAAGGCGCCCACGGGUGGGCGGAUGAGUGUACCCGAAGAAAAAGCAUCGGCUAACUCCGUGCCAGCAGCCGCGGUAAUACGGAGGAUGCGAGCGUUAUCCGGAUUUAUUGGGUUUAAAGGGUGCGUAGGCGGAAUAUCAAGUCAGCGGUAAAAAUUCGGGGCUCAACCCCGUCGUGCCGUUGAAACUGAUGUU
rnacentral:rRNA from 1 species